rnacentral:misc_RNA from 1 species
CACAAAUAACCAAAAUAACAGGAACUAUGUCCAAAUUUCUCCAUGGACUGCCACCUCGGGACGACCAUUUCAGGCCCGGCCGGCCACCCGCCGCCCGUACUCCGGCGUCGCCGCUAUCCUCUGCUGACUGAUCUGCUCAUAGAACCUCCUAAUGAACUCCUCCGCCUCAUUGUCGAUCCGGCCGUCGGCCGGUGAUCCCUCUAUCGGGAACGGCGAG